UACGUAGGGCGCAAGCGUUGUCCGGAAUUAUUGGGCGUAAAGAGCUCGUAGGCGGCUUGUCACGUCGGGUGCGAAAGCCCGGGGCUUAACCCCGGGUCUGCAUUCGAUACGGGCAGGCUAGAGUGUGGUAGGGGAGAUCGGAAUUCCUGGUGUAGCGGUGAAAUGCGCAGAUAUCAGGAGGAACACCGGUGGCGAAGGCGGAUCUCUGGGCCAUUACUGACGCUGAGGAGCGAAAGCGUGGGGAGCAAACAGG
rnacentral:rRNA from 1 species